UCCCUGGUCCGGUGCGCGGACUUGCUGCAGGCUCGGCUCCCGCCCCCAGCUGUGCAGCCGGGCUGACGACCGACCCGGAGCCUCCUCUCUGAGACCCCCACCCAACCAGCGCACCCUCUGCCCCGUCCUUUCUCCCUGCAGUGCUUCGGGAAUGAGGCCCGCACACCCUCCGCGCGACCUGUCCCCAAAGGGCUAUCAUCUGGGCAGGGGAGGGACUCCAGCCUGUGAUCCCUCCGCAUGGCCCAGGAUCGGGCCCCCCUUGCCUGCGGGGGGCUCCAGGACAGAUGAGGGGAGGGCGCUGCCGGCGCACACCGGGGCCACAAGCUCCAGUCCCACCCCGCGGCCGCCAAGUCCCCCGAGCCCGACCAGCCCGGACCCGGGACCUGUCGCGGGCCUCUUGGGAGGACCUCCUCCAGUUCUGGGCAGCGGGACUGAAGCUGGCCCCCGCCUGGGCACUUGGCGAGGAAGCUGGAUGACCCUCUGCAGCACAGCCAGGCUCAGAUGCCCUUUGUGGAAGUGUUCCAUACAAAAUGUGUUCGCUGCUUUUCUCUUAGUUGAAAAUCCAGAGGACAGCUUACUCACUGCUGUUGCAGAAUUUGUCUGCAUGCUAGCCCAGUCCCCAUCUGCAAGAGUGGCCUGAAAUUGCCUUCUGGAAAGUUCCAUGGGGGCCCUCCUGAGAAGGGUGGGGAGGGAGUCUGAGACAAGGCAGAUGGCCAUGGAUAUGUCCUUCUGGUGGGGUCUGGAGUGGCCUGCUCUGCUGCCACCUUGCAUGAAGCAUCAUCUUGUUGAUCUGGAGAUUCUGUGAAUGACCUGUCGUUAAUUCCACUGUGCCCAGGGAAUGAGUGCAGCAUCUCGCUCCCGAAAUGGAGAUGUGCUCUUCUGGCCUGACACAGGCUGUGUCCUGCCUGAUGCAUGUGCCUCAUGCACUUAAGAUCUGCAUUCUCUGAAGCUGGAGGCAGUGCUUUCCAGAUCUUCUGACUUGCUGAGUCUCAUGUGCUUGUCUAGCCAGUAACCGAGAGGUGGUGACCACCGACUGUGACUGAGUCUAGUUUUCAUUUCUGUUCAGUUCUAUUUUUACUUCAUACAUUUUGCAGCUGUUAUGAGAUUCUUCGGCACUGAGAGUUCUGUGUCUUCCUGACAAGCUGGCCCUUUGCCACGGUGGAAGGGCCUCUCUGUCUCUGGGAAUGUGCCCUGGCUGGAUGUCAGUGCUCCUCCGCUGGUGCCUGUGCGGCCUCCCUGGCUUACACAGCCCUGGUGCCCGGCCUUCUGAGUGAGAUCCUGGAGAUGCAGGCAGCUGGCUUUUCCUGCCUUUUGUUUGAGAUGUGUCUACUUCCAUUUCACGUAGUUAUGGACACAGUUCACUUUGAACCCUGAUUUGUCUUUAUUUGUCUUGGUUCUUUGUUCCUGUGUUCCUCCAUCCCUGCCUUUUCUGGGUCAGCUGACUGUGUUUUACACUGUUGAGCAUUGCUGAUCUUGAAAUCUGAAAUCCGAAGCCUUCUAGUGCUGAUGUGACACCAAGUGGAAGAGGCCACCACGCAGAUCUGUUUCCUGCACAAGACGACUACCAAUGUGGAGCAAGGUCACCUGAGCCCAUAAAGUAUAUGAAACACAAAGCCAUCUUGUUUUGACUUGGAUCCCAACCACAAGACCUCUCAUCAUGUGUGUGAAGAUUCCAAAAUCUGAAAAAGCUUUCAGUCCACACUAUUUCUGGUCCUAAUCACCGUGUACCUCGUUUACUCCUCUAUUGGCCUUUUACUUAAACUUCUUGGUGUUACCCUUCUGGGAAGUUAUUCUAGGGCUACACAUGCAUCUGGAUCCACGACUUUGUAGAAGAUGUGGGGACUUUCCACAGGACACUUGCACUGCCCCCUUUGCUGUUGCCCUCUGACUCCCCAGAGCCUGUGAACUCCACUUUUACUUAAACGCUCCCCUUGCCUUUUACAGAAGCCAGGGGUUGCCUUGGGUCCUUAA